GAGUUUGAUCAUGGCUCAGAACGAACGCUGGCGGCAUGCCUAACACAUGCAAGUCGAACGAGACCUUCGGGUCUAGUGGCGCACGGGUGCGUAACGCGUGGGAACGUACCUUUUGGUUCGGAACAACACAGGGAAACUUGUGCUAAUACCGGAUAAGCCCUUACGGGGAAAGACUUAUCGCCGAAAGAUCGGCCCGCGUCUGAUUAGCUAGUUGGUGAGGUAACGGCUCACCAAGGCGACGAUCAGUAGCUGGUCUGAGAGGAUGAUCAGCCACAUUGGGACUGAGACACGGCCCAAACUCCUACGGGAGGCAGCAGUGGGGAAUAUUGGACAAUGGGCGCAAGCCUGAUCCAGCCAUGCCGCGUGAGUGAUGAAGGCCCUAGGGUUGUAAAGCUCUUUUGUGCGGGAAGAUAAUGACGGUACCGCAAGAAUAAGCCCCGGCUAACUUCGUGCCAGCAGCCGCCGUAAC
rnacentral:rRNA from 1 species